UGGGGAAUUGUUCGCAAUGGGCGCAAGCCUGACGACGCAACGCCGCGUGGAGGACGAAGAUCUUCGGGUCGUAAACUCCUGUCGAGCGGGAAGAAUGGGUCUGGGGUGAAUACCCUCAGGCCGUGACGGUACCGCUAAAGGAAGCCCCGGCUAACUCCGUGCCAGCAGCCGCGGUAAUACGGGGGGGGCAAGCGUUGUUCGGAAUUACUGGGCGUAAAGGGCUCGUAGGCGGCCAACUAAGUCAGAUGUGAAAUCCCCAGGCUCAACCUGGGAACUGCAUCUGAUACUGGAUGGCUUGAAUCCGGGAGAGGGAUGCAGAAUUCCAGGUGUAGCGGUGAAAUGCGUAGAUAUCUGGAGGAAUACCGGUGGCGAAGGCGGCAUCCUGGACCGGCAUUGACGCUGAGGAGCGAAAGCUAGGGGAGCAAACGG
rnacentral:rRNA from 1 species